rnacentral:sRNA from 1 species
AGUGAGGAUUUCUUUCUCUUAGGAACACUUAUGCUGCUAGUAGCCAUCUCUUCAAGAUCACUGUCCUAUAUCAUCUUCCUGGACUGCAUGUGCUUCCGCUCCAGAGCGCCUCACCUCUCCGUGGGCCUCCUACAAAGUAACACAGUCUUCCGGCAAAUACCAUGAAGAAGAACAGAGGACUGUGCAGCUCUGGAGAUGAGUCUCAGAAUGGCUCUGCUGUCAGUCAUUUACCCUGUAGCGGAACUUGAAACGACUUCAGAUAUCUGGAUCCCCCUCUCGGUUCGAGGCUCUGAGAGGGACAGUGGCCACAAGGUAUACCCAUCAGUAUGGAGAAAGCUGAGAAAGGCCUUGCCACAGGCCUGAGUCGUGGCCUCCCUGGCUCUGAUGCCUGCUUCUAGUACAUCUCACGGGACGGGUGAGACAUCAAUGUGUCCCAUCUGCUGGAAAAGCAACUACCAGAGAAUCCUGCCAGGUCUCUCUUCAGGUGCCGUGG